rnacentral:rRNA from 1 species
AUUGAACGCUGGCGGCAGGCCUAACACAUGCAAGUCGAACGGUAACAGGAAGAAGCUUGCUUCUUUGCUGACGAGUGGCGGACGGGUGAGUAAUGUCUGGGAAACUGCCUGAUGGAGGGGGAUAACUACUGGAAACGGUAGCUAAUACCGCAUAACGUCGCAAGACCAAAGAGGGGGACCUUCGGGCCUCUUGCCAUCGGAUGUGCCCAGAUGGGAUUAGCUAGUAGGUGGGGUAACGGCUCACCUAGGCGACGAUCCCUAGCUCGUCUGAGAGGAUGACCAGCCACCCUGGAACUGAGCCACGGUCCAGACUCCUACGGGAGGCAGCAGUGGGGAAUAUUGCACAAUGGGCGCAAGCCUGAUGCAGCCAUGCCGCGUGUAUGAAGAAGGCCUUCGGGUUGUAAAGUACUUUCAGCGGGGAGGAAGGGAGUAAAGUUAAUACCUUUGCUCAUUGACGUUACCCGCAGAAGAAGCACCGGCUAACUCCGUG